rnacentral:rRNA from 1 species
GAUGUUCUGGGCCGCACGCGCGCUACACUGACAGAGCCAGCGAGUACAUCACCUUGGCCGAAAGGUCUGGGUAAUCUUGUUAAACUCUGUCGUGCUGGGGAUAGAGCAUUGCAAUUAUUGCUCUUCAACGAGGAAUGCCUAGUAAGCGCAAGUCAUCAGCUUGCGUUGAUUACGUCCCUGCCCUUUGUACACACCGCCCGUCGCUACUACCGAUUGAAUGGCUCAGUGAGGCCUUGGGACUGGCUCAGAGAGGUCGGCAACGACCACUCAGAGCCGGAAACUUGGUCAAACUUGGUCAUUUAGAGGAAGUAAAAGUCGUAACAAGGUCUCCGUAGGUGAACCUGCGGAGGGAUCAUUA